UCUUAUUUCCAAAAGAGUCCAAUGUCAGAUCCAUCUGAAGUAUUUUGUUAUGUAUAUGUUAAAGGAUUCGGAGUUGAGUUAUAGAUUCCAUCCAUCCAUAUUCACUAUCUGUUGAUUAAAAUUAAACUAUAAGAAUAGGACAUGUAUAGAUAUAGAGUGAGAGUUACGUUGUCAUAAAUAGGAAAUUUAAUAGUGACCAAAUUGAUGAAAAUAAAGAAGAAUAAAAUAUUUUUCUACAGAACUAAUCAUUGAGCCUUUGUGUUGAGUUUCCCCCGCAUAUAUUGUUAAUUUAUACUCUUGAGCGACAAUGGGAGUUGAAUGAAUACUUUUUGACAUGUAAUUUUUGUUAGAGAGCAUAUGUAUGUGGAUUGAGCAAAGCCUUCAUUUAUGGUGCAAGUGACUUCAUUUCUUCUUCCCUGACUUGGUCUACAUUUGUUAUUUGAUCUCAAACCAGUCAAUUGUUUUAUAACUACAACAUGUUUGGAUGGAACAUUGCCCGGUAACCAUUUGGACCGCGGAUUUGAAUCUGGUGUAAAUAGUUGGCUUAUUCAUCUUGAGGUAUGUAAAAUAAAAUCCAAACUUUAAUAUCAGUACUUGCUUUAACUCUGCCAUCUUUGAGGCUGCAACUUAUGUAUACUCGAGUAUUUGCGUUAAAUGUCCACUUUAUCUGAUUUUUUCAAACUGGAAAUAGUGAAAAUGAGGUCAGUGAAAAAAUCUUAUCUUAAUUAGCAUUCCUAUGGAAACUGUCAUUGAAAGAUUGAUUUUGGAAUUCAUUAUUGUGUGACCGUGUCUGGAUUUGAUUCUUUUUACAGGUUGUGCACUACUUCAAUUUCAAGGACACAAUAUGGCUAGCUGCAAUAUAAAAGCUUUACUUUGAAGAAAAGGGAUGGGGAUGGUACUGAAGAGAUGACUAUUUUGGAUUAUUUUGUUAAUCUGUGUGAAUUAGUGUCGUUGCAACGAUAUACAAAAGCUCUGUCCACACUUCAAAGGGCUUCAUUAGUAGAGAAGUCCAGACAUAAGCCACAAGAGAGAAUGAUAAUUUUAUUAGAUGCACUUAAAACUAGCAACUAUGGUGUGAUGAACCUUUGUUCAAAGUUGUGGAAUUACUAUAAAGCUUAUAUGAGCUCAAUCUUCAUUUGAUUCGGUGGAGUUAAUCUUUCAGAGUUGGAUUCUACACCUAAAAAAUUAUAUUCAUAGUAUAAAGGGAAAACAGGUAGUAGAAUAAUAAUAAAAGGCUAGAAAAAAAGAAGAAGAAUAGAUUGAAG